AUGGUCAGUGGUGACCACUGGUGGCAUAUAAGUCAUGGAUGAUGAAUAUGAGAAGAAAAGAAUCUAGGUUUUGCUUCUAUUGGAAAUGAUCCUG
rnacentral:snoRNA from 1 species